rnacentral:rRNA from 1 species
AACCCGACUACACGAAGCUGGAAUCGCUAGUAAUCGCGAAUCNGAAUGUCGCGGUGAAUACGUUCCCGGGUCUUGUACACACCGCCCGUCACACCAUGGGGAGUCGGGGAAUGCCCGAAGUCAGUGACCCAACCAAAUGGAGGGGAGCUGCCGAAGGCAGGUCUGAUAACUGGGGUGAAGUCGUAACAAGGUAUC